AUACGGAGGAUUCGAGCGUUAUCCGGAUUUAUUGGGUUUAAAGGGUGCGUAGGCGGGCUAAUAAGUCAGUGGUGAAAUCACUCAGCUUAACUGAGUAACUGCCAUUGAUACUGUUAGUCUAGAAUAUAAAUGGUGCAGGCGGAAUGAAUCAUGUAGAGGUGACAUUCAUAGAUAUGAUUCAGAACACCGAUCGCGAAGGCAGCUUGCAAAGAUAUUAUUGACGCUGAGGCACGAAAGCGUGGGUAGCGAACAGGAUUAGAUACCCUGGUAGUCCACGCUGUAAACGAUGAUAACUCGUUGUCGGCGAUACACAGUCGGUGACUAAGGGAAACCGAUAAGUUAUCCACCUGGGGAGUACGAUCGCAAGGUUGAA
rnacentral:rRNA from 1 species